rnacentral:rRNA from 1 species
AUUUAGAGGAAGUAAAAGUCGUAACAAGGUUUCCGUAGGUGAACCUGCGGAAGGAUCAUUAUCGAAUAUAAACUUGGGUAGACUGUUGCUGGCUUCUCUUCGAGGAGCAUGUGCACGUUUAUCCUCUUUAUUUUUCCACCUGUGCACCUUUUGUAGGCUUGGAAUUAUUUUAAUAGUGUCUUUUCCCAAAGGCAUAAGAAUUUUUUUGGGACUGCUGUGUUUAAACGCAUGUUUAUCGGCUUUCCCUUUUAUUUUUCCAAGUCUAUGUUUUUCAUAUACACUCCAGAAAUUUGAUAGAAUGCUGUACUUGUAGGUCAUACCUAUAAUAAAAUCAGUACAACUUUCAGCAACGGAUCUCUUGGCUCUCGCAUCGAUGAAGAACGCAGCGAAAUGCGAUAAGUAAUGUGAAUUGCAGAAUUCAGUGAAUCAUCGAAUCUUUGAACGCAUCUUGCGCUCCUUGGUAUUCCGAGGAGCAUGCCUGUUUGAGUAUCAUUAAAUUAUCAACUGUGCCAAUUAUUUUGGUUUACAGAUUGGAUGUGGGGGGUAUUUUGCAGGCUUUUUAUUGAGUCUGCUCUCCUGAAAUGUAUUAGCAGUGCCUUUGUUGGUUUCCUUGGGUGUGAUAAUUUAUCUACAUCUUUACAUGGUACCUUCAUUUGUAAAGGUCAUAUUGCUUCCAAUUGUCUUUGGACGGAAUUAUGAAACUUGAUCUCAAAUCAGGCAGGACUACCCGCUGAACU